AAUAGUUAGGGAUGGUUAGAGACCCUACUAAUGAUAACCUAGCACUCUGAAGUACCAUGGUCUGAGACCAGGUUGUAAGUUGGGCUGGGGUGGUACAACUGACACAUAAUAUCGCAGGUGUCCUAAGGUCAGCUCAGCGAGGACAGAAACCUCGCGAAGAGCAAAAGGGCAAAAGCCGGCUCGAUCCCGUUGCUCAGUGGACAUAGGGACUGCGAAAUCAAGCGGUGUCAGAAAAGAUGCCACAGGGAUAACUGGCUUGUGGCGGCCAAGCGUUCGUCGCUUGGUGAUCCUUCGAUGUCGGCUCAGUUUUACCAUUCUGAUGACACGUCAUUGCUGUUGUAAUCCUGUUUAGUACGAGAGGAACCGCAGGUUCAUUCAUUCAGUCGGCCGGCAGGUUGUGCGAAGUUACCAUGAGAUUAUGCCUGAACGGUUCAAAGGCAGAUUCCCGAUGAGCAAUAAUGCGCUGUGAGUCUCGUGAGUCGAAAGGCUCAAAAUCAUGCGACCUUAUGCGGCUCGUUUACAGGCCGUUGCAAGACCCAAGUGGAUGAAGCGCCCACUCCGUCUUAGCAAGGUUCACACUUCGGGGAGUGUUGUACUCGGGAGAGCAGUUGCGCCUCGCUAUGAUCUGUUCAGACUCAGCCUUUUCUUGGGGGAUUC
rnacentral:misc_RNA from 13 species